UUCUUUUAGUUUAGUUAUUAAAGGUAAUAUCUGCUCUAUGAAUAUUUUUAAAUGGCCGCGGUAUAUUGACCGUGCAAAGGUAGCGUAAUAAUUAGUUUCUUAAUUAGGAACUUGUAUGAAUGAAUAUAUGAGGGAUUUUUUUUAUUUUUAUAAUUUUUAUAAUUUAACUUUUGGGUUAAAAGGCUUAAUUUAUUUAUUGGGACGAUAAGACCCUAUAGAACUUUAAAUUUAAAUUACUUGUUUUUUAUUGGUUAUUUAGCUUUUUUUUAUUUUUUUAGUUGGGGUGAUUAUUAAAUUUAAUCUUUAGUUUUUUCUUUCAUUGUAUUUAUGUUUUUUUUGAUCCUUUAGUGUUUGAUUUUAAGAAAUAGUUACCUUAGGGAUAACAGCGUAAUUUUAGUGGGGAGUUCUUAUUUAUACUAAAGUUUUCGACCUCGAUGUUGAAUUAAGAUAAAGCUGUGGGGUAGGUUUUUCAGUUUUAAGUCUGUUCGACUUUUUAAUUCUUACA
rnacentral:rRNA from 1 species